rnacentral:rRNA from 1 species
UACAGAGGGUGCAAGCGUUGUUCGGAAUUAUUGGGCGUAAAGGGCGCGUAGGCGGUGCGGUAAGUCUUUUGUGAAAUCUCCGGGCUCAACUCGGAGUCUGCAGGAGAAACUGCCGUGCUUGAGUAUGGAAGAGGUGAGUGGAAUUCCUGGUGUAGCGGUGAAAUGCGUAGAUAUCAGGAGGAACACCUGUGGCGAAAGCGGCUCACUGGACCAUUACUGACGCUGAGGCGCGAAAGCUAGGGGAGCAAACAGG